UGGUGGGUAGUUUGACUGGGGCGGUCUCCUCCUAAAGAGUAACGGAGGAGCACGAAGGUUGGCUAAUCCUGGUCGGACAUCAGGAGGUUAGUGCAAUGGCAUAAGCCAGCUUGACUGCGAGCGUGACGGCGCGAGCAGGUGCGAAAGCAGGUCAUAGUGAUCCGGUGGUUCUGAAUGGAAGGGCCAUCGCUCAACGGAUAAAAGGUACUCCGGGGAUAACAGGCUGAUACCGCCCAAGAGUUCAUAUCGACGGCGGUGUUUGGCACCUCGAUGUCGGCUCAUCACAUCCUGGGGCUGAAGUAGGUCCCAAGGGUAUGGCUGUUCGCCAUUUAAAGUGGUACGCGAGCUGGGUUUAGAACGUCGUGAGACAGUUCGGUCCCUAUCUGCCGUGGGCGCUGGAGAACUGAGGGGGGCUGCUCCUAGUACGAGAGGACCGGAGUGGACGCAUCACUGGUGUUCGGGUUGUCAUGCCAAUGGCACUGCCCGGUAGCUAAAUGCGGAAGAGAUAAGUGCUGAAAGCAUCUAAGCACGAAACUUGCCCCGAGAUGAGUUCUCCCUGAGACUUAGAGUCUCCUGAAGGAACGUUGAAGACGACGACGUUGAUAGGCCGGGUGUGUAAGCGCAGCGAUGCGUUGAGCUAACCGGUACUAAUGAACCGUGAGGCUUAACCUUACAAC
rnacentral:rRNA from 12 species